rnacentral:lncRNA from 13 species
GCUCCUGUGCCGUCUUUUCCACAAACAGAUCUUGAAUGUCUCCGGCCCAACUCCAUUGGUUCAGGCAGUAGUGCCUCUACCUCCUGCAGCCACUCAUCUUCCUCCUCUGGACGAGGUUCUUUACCUCCUGUAGGUUACCCUGGUAACCAGAUACAAGGUGGGGAAACCAAUCACAUUGUCUAUUCCUCCCCGGAGACUGUGACUGAAGAUGACCCCAAUAACCAUCACAAUCACCAGAAACAAAACCUUCAUCUUCUCAGUGAGUUUUCUUGUUCUUUCAUUAGGGCCCUGUGUUUUGGCUAAUCGUGCCAAAUUACCUGAAUUUUAACCUUCGCUUUAAGUCUUUUCUAGAAAUGAGAAUUAGACCAAAGUAAGUAAGUAAGUGUCUGAGGAUGGUGCUGGACCAUCUGACAUAAAAAGAAAGGGGACAGUGAUGAAAAAUCUUUAAAUAAAAGGUUGAAAUCCAGGUAAUGUGACAUGAUUAACCAAAACACAGGGCCCUAUGCAUGGUGCAUGACUGCAGACUAACACAAACAGACAUACAGAACAUGACACUUGAUAUGUGCAAGCAUGUGACUAAACAUGGGUGAUGCCAAAUCUACUUACCUUUCUGUUGAUUCCAGUGGACAGCAUGGAGUCGUCAGGUGAGAGUGGCAGUGUGUUCAGCAGCUCGGAGUGCAGCUGCCUCUCUGCCAUUGGUGGAGAGGUGGAGGACUCGUCAUCUGUCCUGUCCCAGAGCUCCCAGUCCCGUGUCACCCAGAGAACAGCAGCACCCAAUCUCAGGAAGAACAGCUCCCCUGCUACGAUCAGGAAGAAGCCCUCCAUUGCUCCCAAACCACCAGUGCUAGCUGCUCCUCAGAGUCUGCAAAAGGGCAAAAAAAUGGUUGCUAUAGGAAAAUCAACAGAAGUUUAACCAGUGGAUUUAAUGGAUGGUUCAUCCUGUGGAUCUCUGAGCAGUGAUGAUGGAGAGCAAUACGGCUGACAGUCAAUUAAAAACUAUGAUAACAGACUGAAUGGACCCCUAGUUGACAGGCACUGAAGAGAAAGUGACUUUUUGUCUUUGAAGAACUAAUGUAUCUGGAAUAUUCUAGCUGAAAUAUCAUGAAAAGGAACACAUGAUGGAUUGUGGUCAGUUUUUAAAGUGCUUAUGUUGUCCAUUUAUCUAAUAAUACUUCUUAAGCAACCACUUCUUUAUCAGAUACUGCUUUAACUGAAUGGCUAUUGUUUUGCUGUCAUUGGUUCAUAGAACAUACUUUUUUUGUCUUUGUAACACUAGUAGUAUUUCAGCUGUUAACUUUUACAAGGGAUUUCUUUGGAAUUUACACAUCAUUCUCACCAUGUCAUGUUGACUCUCUUGAUGACCCCAUAUUGAUGACCCCAUCUCUUGAUGACCCCAUAUUCCCAUGAAAUGUCAAAUAUGGGUUAAUGUUUUUUUCUUCAAAUUACACACAUUUAACACUGUUUAUAAUGUACCGGUACACAUGUCAAACUCAAACAACUGACUAUAGAAACAGUUGUUCCCAUCAGUAUUCUCUGCAGGCUCAGGACAACUUGUCAGUGGCACUCUGACAUAAUUUCCUGCCCAGAUGUAUAGAUAAAUUAGGGAUCAACUAUUGAUGUCCAGGUGGGAUAGCAGAGGAGCAGCAAGUUACUUAAUAAUUUUUUCCCAUUUUUCCCCAGCUUUGUACUAUAUUGCUGUGAAAAAUGUCUGGAAAGGGAGAAAACCACUAAAUUGGAAUAAUUUAAGGGGUCCAUCUGGCAUUUUCCACUCAUCAGAAACCAGUGUCUUCAGAUUUCUCCAGUUGUUCUAAUAGUCAACAUAUUAAUUUACAAUAUUCAUUACAAACCAUGUAUAUUAUUGAGAUCUUUCUUUUCUGUGAAAACUGAAUGAGCAAUUUUGCUUAGGGCUAGGUUCUAUAAGAACUGCGGUAAACAACAUCUGCAUAGCGGUUGUUUUGGUGAUGCUGUUUUUUUGGGGGGGGGGGGGG